ensembl:lncRNA
CCUGCUAGAAGCUUCCUGGAGUCUCCUUAGCUCCUAAACUCCUGAAAACUUUUCCUUGACAAUCUGGACUUGGAGAUGGUUGCCAUUUGCUGCCCUGCCAUGUUCCAUGAUGGGAAAUUUCAGAAGGCAGGAGGGCAAGGUCUCAAAAGAAAAAAAAAAAAAAAAGAAAGAAAGAAAAACAGGAAAUACUGUAAGCAGUUCAUGUCUACAGCACAGCCUGCUCUGCAAAGUGCCUGAGUAACUGUGGUCACUCCAUCCCCGAAUGCUGUUCUCUUUCUUCCAAACUUUAUGCCAAUAACCUCGCCCCAGGCCAGACCCAUUACUAUAAUACUUCUAUUAAAGUCUGCACUAAAGCUUCACGCAGUGAAGGAUAUAUAUUUUUCAAAGAGGGCAUCUUCUCGGCCCCCCUCCACGGGUUUUGAAGAGC